CGGGACGGGUGAGUAAUGUCUGGGAAACUGCCUGAUGGAGGGGGAUAACUACUGGAAACGGUAGCUAAUACCGCAUAACGUCGCAAGACCAAAGAGGGGGACCUUAGGGCCUCUUGCCAUCGGAUGUGCCCAGAUGGGAUUAGCUAGUAGGUGGGGUAACGGCUCACCUAGGCGACGAUCCCUAGCUGGUCUGAGAGGAUGACCAGCCACACUGGAACUGAGACACGGCCCAG
rnacentral:rRNA from 1 species